rnacentral:rRNA from 1 species
CAGUAGCCGCGGUAAUCCGAAGGGGGCUAGCGUUGUUCGGAUUUACUGGGCGUAAAGGGCGCGUAGGCGGACUGAUAAGUCAGGGGUGAAAUCCCAAGGCUCAACCUUGGAACUGCCUUUGAUACUGUUUGUCUUGAGUUCGAGAGAGGUAAGUGGAACUGCGAGUGUAGAGGUGAAAUUCGUAGAUAUUCGCAAGAACACCAGUGGCGAAGGCGGCUUACUGGCUCGAUACUGACGCUGAGGCGCGAAAGCGUGGGGAGCAAACAGGAUUAGAUACCCCAGUAGUCCCUGUCUCUUAUAC